rnacentral:tRNA from 1 species
GGGGCUGUACGCUAACCUGGCAGACUUCCGCGUUCGGGUCGCGGCUAUCCGAGUUCAAAUCUCGGCAGCCCCA